UUCAGAAACGAAGAGAAGAACCAUAUGUUAUGGUGGAUCUAUAGGAAUAUUUGACGAAUGGAAAUAUGACUUCUUUUCUCUGGUUCUUAUUGUGUUCCUAAAACUUAUUAGGAUGCAUGGUCCAGGGUGACUCCGUUGCAUCUGUUUUUUUUUCUUUGUGUGAACUGACUUGAAUCCUUGCCCAGUUAUGACUCUGAUAUUUGGAAACCAUUGAGCCGUUGCUAGGACCAAAAUGGAUGAUUGGCGAGGAGGACCAGCUGAAAAGAAUUGCUACAUAAGUUGCUUUAUCAUGGGGCUAUCAUCUUCUCAUAAACUGCACUACUAUGGAGAAAGAAAGCUGAACUUUAUUUUCAUAUGGUGUAAGUCAACUAGCUGCAUGGACACAUAACUGGGAAGGUAUGAUCACAGGUGCAGCUGUCUCAACUAUGUAAUACAAUCUCAAGCUGAAACAUCCGUCUUUGGAUAUGCCAAUGCUCGAUUAUGACCAGUUCUCCUGGCACAUCAAGUAAAGCUUUUUAGAAGCCUGUUGAGACAUGGAAGAAAGAGACCAUAGUCAAAAGGGUAAUGUUUCACAAUUACUCGUCAUCUUUAUAAACAGCUUUGGUCACCUGAAUAAUUGGCCUCGAUAGCCAUGUAGGGUGGAACUGUGUCCGCUGUGACCAUUAAAUUAUGGAGUAUUACUUGGUUUUGUGCCCUCUGAUGAUUAGAAUGUUGGUAAUUAUAUCGAAGCAGUUUUUCUGUUGGCUCGCUGAUAUUCCAUAUAUUAUUCUGUUAGGGGCUUGAUUUACUAAUAUAAGUAUUCUAUGCAUAAUAAGAGAUUGUAGCACCCAUUCUUUGUGGAUGAGCAAUUUAUGUUUUUUUUUUCAGUUUAUGAUGAUCAUUAUUAUUUAUCAUUAACUUCUAAAAUUUCUGUAUAUUUUCUAUGUAGGCAAUAUAGAAGUUAUAGCUCUGUGGUUGGUUGGUUGCUUGGUUUUCUCACCUGUUUUUUUACUUCCCAAUUAUCUAAUUGUCGAUAGAGAAGACUUACACUUAUACACCUAUGCUUAUCUCUUGAUUUUGCAAGAAAUGAAAGAAUUUUUUAUUUCCUUAUCUGAGUGCAAAUUUCUCACUGAGAAUCUUGUUUUUUUUUUGGCUCAGCAUAUGAUUUAUGCGCAGCAGUAGUGUGUUUCUAUACAUAAUGAGUAUUGCCUUUGAUCACAGGUAUCUGGCCUCUUUUCAUCUCCAAAAGUUUUUGUAUCCAGAUCUAUUAAAACUUUUAACUUCCAUUUGUUCUUCGUUAAACAUUUAAUGGAGAAGAGUUCAGAUACCCAACUAGAUGCACAUGCAUAUUUUUGAUUGCGGAAGAACAUGCAUCUAUCUUUACUGGGAUGUACAUAUUUCACUUUUAGUCAGAAGAUCCCUCUGAUUUGUGCUGUAGGUAUCCUACCCAAUGGAAUUACUGCUCGGCUUAGAAUUCUUGCUCCUCGGAUUCUAGGCUGAUCUGGUAAAGCAUAGAGAGAAGGAUGCUAAUAUGCAAAAUCUUGUGCAAUAUGUAGUGCCCUGAAGUAUAUGUCAACCGCAAGAUAUCGUGCCCUGAAGUAUAUGUCAGUAUGAUUUUGGUACCACGGCGAUCGUUUGCAAGUCCAACUUAGUUAUAUGUUCAGGCUGCUCCUGAAUUUCCUUGAUGUAAGCAUCUUUUGUCUAUGUAAACAUGUAAAGCAUGUGUGGCGCUUAGUUCAGGUUUGAUCCACCUUAACAUUAGAUUGUCUUUCAUGUAAGAUUGUCACCGUUUGGUAUUUUGUUGGACACAAAACUGAAUACGAGUGUAUGUGUUGUUCAGUAA